AGACACUGCAGGGGAACAGGAGGAUGGCAAAGCUGGGACACUCAGGCAUUUCCUCCGGCUUCAUUUCGUAAAGGACCCCAAAACUUUUCCAGUGAGGUGCCUGAUGAAUUGCAGCUCCACAGAGUCGACGUUAAUGGGAAUGAUGUCAUUGCUUACCAGGCUCAUCGGACCAGAAAGUCCUCCCUGGAUCAACGCCGAGAGCAUCCCACUACAACCCAUUCCUGGUGUCUCCACUUGCAAACCAAGCCAGCUUGGGGGGAA
rnacentral:lncRNA from 1 species